rnacentral:rRNA from 1 species
GGGGGUUAAAGUAUUUUAAAAAAAUUAAUAUUAAAUUUUAUAGUAAAUUAGUAUUGUGAAAGAAAUUUGAAAUAAUAUUAAAUAUUAAAUUAUUUAAAAGUAAUUUUUAUUUGUUGUAUCUUGUGUAUCAGAGUUUAUUAAUAAUUUUUAAUUUAAUAAAUUAAUUUCUCGAAUUUAAAAGAGUUAAUUAAUUAAUAAAGUUAAUGUGAAAAAAUUAUUUUUAAUAAUUAAUUUGAAAUGAAAUGUUAUUCGUUUUUAAAUAUAUCUAGUUUUUUUUGAAAAAAAUUUAAUUUUAUUUUUUUUUUACAAAUAAUUAAUUAAUUAAUUAUUUGUAUGAAAAAUUUUAAUAAUUUAAGGGAUAAGCUUUAAAUUAAAUUUUUAUAAUUGGAAAUUAAUUAAAUUAUUAAAAAUUUUAUAUUUUAUAUUGAUAAAAAAUUUUAAUUUUUUAUAAAUAAUUUUAUUAAAAUAGAAAAUUUAAAUUAGGAAUAUUUAAAAUUUAUAAAAAAAAAUAAAUUAUAAUUAUAAAAAUUUAAUUAUAAUGAUAAAAUUAUUAUAUAAAUAAGUUAAUUAAAAAAUAAAUUUAUUUAAAAAUUAAAUUAAAGGAAUUCGGCAAAAUUUUUAUAUUCACUUGUUUAACAAAAACAUGUCUUUUUGAUAAUAAUUUAAAGUCUAAUCUGCCCACUGAUUUUAAUUAAAGGGCUGCAGUAAUUUGACUGUACAAAGGUAGCAUAAUCAAUAGUCUUUUAAUUGAUGACUUGUAUGAAUGAUUGGAUGAAAUAUAAUCUGUCUCUUAUUUAAUUAUAAAAUUUAAUUUUUUAGUUAAAAAGCUAAAAUAUUUUAAAAAGACGAGAAGACCCUAUAGAGUUUUAUAAUUAAUAAUUUAAUUUAUUUUAUAUAAUAAUGAAAAAUUAAAUAAAUUUAUAAUUAUUUUAUUGGGGUGAUAAAAAAAUAUAAAUAACUUUUUUUAAAAUAAAAAUCAUAUAUAAGUGAUUAAAUGAUCCAUUAAUAAUGAUUAAAAGAAAAAAUUACCUUAGGGAUAACAGCGUAAUUUUUUUUUUUAGUUCAAAUAAGAAAAAAAGUUUGCGACCUCGAUGUUGGAUUAAGAUAUAAUUUAAAUGCAAAAGUUUAAAAUUUUUGAUCUGUUCGAUCAUUAAAAUCUUACAUGAUCUGAGUUCAAACCGGUGUAAGCCAGGUUGGUUUCUAUCUUUUAAUAAAUAAAAUAUUUUAGUACGAAAGGAUUGAAUAUUUUAAUUAAAUUAAAAAUAUAUUUGAUUAUUUUUAAAAUU